rnacentral:rRNA from 1 species
AGUGAACGCUGGCGGUAGGCCUAGCACAUGCAAGUCGAACGGCAGCACAGUAAGAGCUUGCUCUUACGGGUGGCGAGUGGCGGACGGGUGAGGAAUACAUCGGAAUCUACUUUUUCGUGGGGGAUAACGUAGGGAAACUUACGCUAAUACCGCAUACGACCUACGGGUGAAAGCAGGGGAUCUUCGGACCUUGCGCGAUUGAAUGAGCCGAUGUCGGAUUAGUUAGUUGGCGGGGUAAAGGCCCACCAAGGCGACGAUCCGUAGCUGGUCUGAGAGGAUGAUCAGCCACACUGGAACUGAGACACGGUCCAGACUCCUACGGGAGGCAGCAGUGGGGAAUAUUGGACAAUGGGCGCAAGCCUGAUCCAGCCAUACCGCGUGGGUGAAGAAGGCCUUCGGGUUGUAAAGCCCUUUUGUUGGGAAAGAAAAGCAGCAGGUUAAUACCCCGCUGUUCUGACGGUACCCAAAGAAUAAGCACCGGCUAACUUCGUG